UAAGUCUUGGCCAAAUCUUCAGGUGUGGACGUGUGGUGCUAGGUCUACUUCCACACUUUACUUUUCUUUCUUACGACUCUCGCCGGCGCCGUGCCCUCCCCCCGCUGUCGCCUCCGCCGCCGCCGCCAGCCAUGCUUCUCCUCAAGAAACACGUCCUCCUCCUCUCUCUCCGUCCCCGCGCCACAAGUGCCAUACUCGCGUUCCGCCACCGAUGCCUCUUCUCCAACACCCGAUUCGCCGCCACCGCCGCCGUGGCAGCGUCGGCUAGCCCUGCUCCGUUCGCCAUGGAGGACUACCUCGUCACGUCUUGCCACCUCACCCUGGCGCAGGCCGUCAAGGCCUCCAAGGUCCUCUCCCGCCCCUCAAGUCCCCCUCCAAGCCCGAGGCCGUCCUCGCCUUCCUCUCCGACCUCGGCCUCUCCGACGCCGACGUCGCCGCCGUCGUCGUGUACGACCCUCUCCUCCUCUGCUCCGAGGUCGACAAGACCCUGGCCCCGCGCCUCGCCGAGCUCCGGGACCUCGGGCUCUCCCCGUCCCAGAUCGCCCGCCUCGUCCUGGUCGACCCCGCCCGCUUCCGCCGCCCCACCAUCAUCUCCAAGCUGCAGUACUACGUCCCCCUCUUCGGCUCCUUCGAGAACCUCCUCCAGGCGCUCAAGUACAACUCCUACCUCCUCAGCUCCGACCUGGAGAACGUUGUCAAGCCCAACGUCGCGCUCCUCCGGGAGUGCGGGUUAGGUGACUGUGAUAUUGCCAAGCUAUGCAUCCCCGUGCCGAGGCUGCUCACCAGCAAGCCAGAGCGCAUCCAGGCCAUGGUGGCGCGUGCCGAAGAUGUCGGUGUGCCCCGUGGCUCUGCGAUGUUCAGGCACGCGCUGCUGGCUGUUGCAUUCCUCAGCGAGGAGAAGAUUGCUGCUAAGGUGGAGUUCCUGAAGAAGACAUUCAGGUGGUCGGAAGCUGAGGUGGCCAUUGCUGUUGCCAAGCUUCCGGUGGUGCUGAGGAACUCCCAGGAGAGGCUGCUGCGCAUGUCGGAAUUCUUGAUGUCGGAGGUUGGGUUAGAGCCGGAGUACAUUGCUCACAGGCCGGCAAUGCUCGCUUGUAGCUUAGAGGCUCGGCUCAAACCUCGGUACUAUGUUGUGAAGUUUCUUAAAGAACAUGGAUUGCUAAAGCCUAACCGAAGCUUCUACACCGCAGCCCAGGUGAGCGAGAAGGUAUUCGUGGAGAAGUUCAUACGUCCUCACAAGGAAGCUGCGCCUCGCCUCGCUGAAGACUAUGCUGCCACUCUCAAAGGGGAAGUGCCCACUAGAUUCAGAUUGCAAUAACCAAGAACAAGCUUAAAUAGUAUUUAACCGCUUUUUGCACAAUGAAGUUUUCUCUCUGGAGUCUGCAAAGCAAGUUGGCAAGUCUUGUUCCUGUGUUGUUUUUCUAACACUCUAACUGGAUGUUUGGUGUCCACUAUAGUAUGCCACUUGCAGUUUGGUAGUUGCUAAUAUUUUCUAAAUUUGAAUAUGUUUUGGUCGUCAUCUAGUAGAUAAGAAAGAAAGCAUGGCACAGUUACGAAUUGGUUCUUCAUCAUGUCAUGUUAAUAACUAUGUUUCUGAACCUGGCUUGUUCAGUCUGCGUUUUGUACUAAGAUCAGACAAUUAUCAACGUCUUUAGGUCUGAUUUGGGAUGUGAGAAUGUUCCUAUUCCUUGAGGAAAUAAACUUACUAAUGUUAAA